UCCUGGUUGGCUCAGUUGGUAGAGCAUGUGACUCUUAUUCUCAUGGUUGUGAGUUCAAGCCCCACAUCAGGUG
rfam:Ailuropoda melanoleuca scaffold1983_25, whole genome shotgun sequence.